UCGAUCAUUCAUUCAAUCGAGAAAUAUCGAUGUUUACAAACUCUUGUAUUGGGCUUCUUAUCGUUCUUAUCCAUUUUAAUAAUAGAGAAACUAAGAAUGAGGCAACAUCGUUCGUAUCUUUUCUACUUUCAUGCGAGAGAAAUAAUAUUUCUACGAUUCCACGACGCCAUAUUUUUUUUUCUUCUUUUCUUUCUUUUUUUUUUUUUUUUUUUUUUUUUUUAUCGCUAAUACUAUCAUAAAUAUUUUUAACUUCAGAUAGAUUUAUUUAGAUUUGAUUUAUGAUUGAACAUUUCUCAUAUAAACGACGAUUAUCAAGUAUUAUUGGGCAAUGAUGCUUUAAGUAUAAUUCCUAUUGACUUGUUGUAGUGCUGGAGCAUAAACAUAUGCCAUUGUAUACAAAUAAAAAUUGAGAAGACCAUAUAGAGCCAUAAAUUGUGCUGAUGUGCGAUAGUAUGUAGAAAGACGCGAAGCAAAACUAUCUUCAAGAACUCCUGCACCAAAUUGACGAGAAGUAACUAAACUGCAAACACCAGCAACUACUCCAGCAAGUAAUGUUAAAAAUCUUAAGCGUAAAUCUAUAAAAAAAAAAAAAAAAAUAAUUGUUAUAUACAAUGAAAAAUAAAUUGAUGUCAUUUAUUUAUGCGCAUUAUUUACCAAAAUAUGGCAUGGAUCUUAAUUCACUGUAUGCCUUUAAUAUAAGUAGAAGAAGAUAUGCAAUGUAAAAGCCACCUACUGUAAAGAAGAAUACUUUAAAACCCUGUAACACAAAAAAAUCAAAAUUAUAUUACAUAUUAUUUUAUGUUAUAAAAACAUAAUUGGAGCUUAUAUAUUGUUUACAUAAUAAUUUGAUGUAUCAAGAACAUAAUUGUAUGUUGGAUCCUCUAAUUCGGUACAACGAAGCCAUGUUGCCAAUGUUAGAGCUGCCGCCCAAAGAAGACCCACAACCAACAUUUUUGGUACCCAGGAAUUUAUUAAAAAUAUCAUGGGAAAUAAAGGAUCUGUGUAAACAAAAAAUACAAUCCAUAGUAGUGUUUCAUAAAAUCUUAAGUUAAGGUGAAUAGUAUUAUUGUGUAUAUGAAUUAGUUCAUAUAACUUACUAUUAUA